rnacentral:rRNA from 1 species
GUUCGUGAGAAGCUCAGAGAACAUCAGUUAUAUGCCAAGUUCAGCAAAUGUGGGUUUUGGCUAAAGGAAGUUGGAUUUCUCGGACAUGUUAUAUCCGGAGAAGGAAUAACAGUAGACCCUGCCAAGGUUGUAUCUAUAACUAAAUGGGUAGCACCCACAUCAGUUGGAGAGAUCAGGAGUUUUCUUGGACUCGCGGGAUAUUAUCGGACAUUCAUUGAGAAUUUCUCCAGGAUUGCUAAACCCAUGACAGAGUUGUUGAAGAAGGACACCAAGUUUAAAUGGACUGAGGAGUGUGAAGCCAGUUUUCAGGAGUUGAAGAAAUGUUUGGUUACAGCCCCAGUGUUGAUUCUUCCAGACCAACGAAAGGAUUAUGAAGUGUAUUACGACGCUUCACGUCGAGGACUUGGAGCAGUACUUAUGCAGGAGGGAAGAGUUGUUUCAUAUGCUUCACGACAGCUUAAACCUCAUGAGCUG